rnacentral:piRNA from 1 species
UUAACGGACCUCACUGGAAAUAG